UUCCGCAGAGAGCAUCAUAAUGAUCAUAUUUAACCUCUGGUACUCCCAAACAGAUUUGGUUACUCAAACUCUAUCGUUGCUUUGAUUCCAGUAGCUGAUGAUGGUCUAGUACGAAGUUUUUGGUGGUACUUGCACUCCAAAACAAUUUUUUUGCAGAGAAGAAGCAAAAAGGAAAAGACUUUUUGCAGUGCAAGGAGUGGCAUAU